rnacentral:rRNA from 1 species
UCAUUGAAUAAUGCUAAGCCUAUUAAUGGGGUCUUCGGAUCUCAUUAGUAGGUGAACCACACGCACACAAUGUUUGGUGUCCGACGUAAAGCUUGCCUUUCGGUGGGCUUUCAAUUUUCAUACCAGUUUAACACUGUGUCAAACCAAACUCUGAAGUUGUGGCUGCUAUUAACUGGCAGUCUUAACCAAAUACAACUCUCAACAACGGAUAUCUUGGCUCUCGCAACGAUGAAGAACGCAGCGAAAUGCGAUACGUAGUGUGAAUUGCAGAAUUCCGUGAACCAUCGAAUCUUUGAACGCAUAUUGCGCUCAACCCUUCGGGGAAGAGCAUGUCUGCCUCAGCGUCGGUUUUCACCCUCAUCCCUCCUAUUUUUAAUAGGCUUGCUGGUUUGCUCAAACCAGAAUUUGGGAUGGAUCUGGCUUUCCCAAUCAUCCGUGAUUGGGUUGGCUGAAGCACAGAGGCUUAAGCUAGGACCCGAUAUGGGCUCAACUGGAUAGGUAGAGUAAUCUACACGAAGUUGUGCUUGUGGACCGUGCUAGAGCCAAGCAGGAAACUACUCAUGGGUUCGACCUGAGCUCAGGCAAGGCUACCCGCUGAACUUAAGCAUAUG